AUUCCAGCUCCAAUAGCGUAUAUUAAAGUUGUUGCAGUUAAAAAGCUCGUAGUUGGAUUUCGGAACCGGCCGAUUGGUCCGUCCUCUGGAUCGUGUACUGAUCGGUCUGUUCUUCUUCGCGAAGACCGCGUGUGCCCUUAACUGGGUGGGCGCGGGAUUCGCGACGUUUACUUUGAAAAAAUUAGAGUGUUCAAAGCAGGCAGUCGCUUGAAUAUCUCAGCAUGGAAUAAUAGAAUAGGACUUUGGUCUUAUUUUGUUGGUUUCCGAGACCGAAGUAAUGAUUAGUAGGGACAGUUGGGGGCAUUCGUAUUUCAUUGUCAGAGGUGAAAUUCUUGGAUUUAUGAAAGACGAACUUCUGCGAAAGCAUUUGCCAAGGAUGUUUUCAUUG
rnacentral:rRNA from 1 species